rnacentral:rRNA from 1 species
AUUGAACGCUGGCGGCGUGCCUAACACAUGCAAGUCGAGCGGUAACAGGUGUAGCAAUACAUGCUGACGAGCGGCGGACGGGUGAGUAACGCUUGGGAAUCUGCCUAUUAGUGGGGGACAACCCGGGGAAACUCGGGCUAAUACCGCAUACGCUCUACGGAGGAAAGCCGGGGACCGCAAGGCCUGGCGCUAAUAGAUGAGCCCAAGUCGGAUUAGCUAGUUGGUAGGGUAAUGGCCUACCAAGGCGACGAUCCGUAACUGGUCUGAGAGGACGACCAGUCACACCGGAACUGAGACACGGUCCGGACUCCUACGGGAGGCAGCAGUGGGGAAUAUUGGACAAUGGGCGAAAGCCUGAUCCAGCGACGCCGCGUGGGUGAAGAAGGCCUGCGGGUUGUAAAGCCCUUUCAGUGGGGAAGAAAAGCCUCGACCUAACACGUCGGGGUCUUGACGUAACCCAUAGAAGAAGCACCGGCUAACUCUGUGCCAGCAGCCGCU